rnacentral:rRNA from 1 species
ACCCAGACUCCUACGGGAGGCAGCAGUGGGGGAUAUUGCACAAUGGGGGAAACCCUGAUGCAGCGACGCCGCGUGUAGGAAGACGGUCCUCUGGAUUGUAAACUACUGUCCCCAGGGACGAAGAUGACGGUACCUGGGGAGGAAGCUCAGGCUAACUACGAGCCAGCAGCAGCGGUAAUACGUAGGGAGCGAGCGUUGUCCGGAAUUACUGGGUGUAAAGGGAGCGUAGGCGGGGAUGCAAGUUGGGUGUUGAAUCUACCGGCUCAACUCGUAGUCGCACUCAAAACUGCAGCUCUUGAGUGAAGUAGAGGCAGGCGGCAUUCCUAGUGUAGCGGUGAAAUGCGUAGAUAUUAGGAGGAACACCAGUGGCGAAGGCGGCCUGCUGGGCUUUUACUGACGCUGAGGCUCGAAAGUGUGGGGAGCAAACAGGAUUAGAUACCCCAGUA